AUUGAACGCUGGCGGAAUGCUUUACACAUGCAAGUCGAACGGCAGCACGGGGGCAACCCUGGUGGCGAGUGGCGAACGGGUGAGUAAUGUAUCGGAACGUGCCCAGUCGUGGGGGAUAACGUAGUGAAAAUUACGCUAAUACCGCAUACGAUCUACGGAUGAAAGCGGGGGAUCGCAAGACCUCGCGCGAUUGGAGCGGCCGAUACCAGAUUAGGUAGUUGGUGGGGUAAAGGCUCACCAAGCCAACGAUCUGUAGCUGGUCUGAGAGGACGACCAGCCACACUGGAACUGAGACACGGUCCAGACGCCUACGGGAGGCAGCAGUGGGGAAUUUUGGACAAUGGGCGAAGGCCUGAUUCAGCCAUUCCGCGUGCAGGAUGAAGGCCUUCGGGUUGUAAACUGCUUUUGUACGGAGCGAAAAGGCUCUCUCUAAUACAGGGGGCUCAUGACGGUACCGUAAGAAUAAGCACCGGCUAACUACGUGCCAGCCGCCGCGGUAA
rnacentral:rRNA from 1 species